UGCCCAGUGACAUAGUGUUAAACGGCCGCGGUAUUUUGACCGUGCUAAGGUAGCGCAAUCACUUGUUUUUUAAAUGAAGACCUGUAUGAAUGGUGAAACGAGGGCUUAACUGUCUCCCCUUUCUAGUCAAUGAAACUGAUCUGCUCGUGCAGAAGCGAGCAUAAAUAUACAAGACGAGAAGACCCUUUGGAGCUUUAGACAUAGAUCAACUGUACUUAAACCCAAAUAAAAUGGGACAAAACCAGACACACACUGACCAAAGUCUUCGGUUGGGGCGACCAUGGGGAAAAACAAAACCCCCACGUGGAAUGGACCAUUCCCUAAACUAAGAGAGACAUCUCUAAGUCACAGAACAUCUGACCAUUUAGAUCCGGCCAACAAGCCGAUCAACGGACCAAGUUACCCUAGGGAUAACAGCGCAAUCCCCUUCGAGAGUCCAUAUCGACAAGGGGGUUUACGACCUCGAUGUUGGAUCAGGACAUCCUAAUGGCGCAGCCGAUAUUAAGGG
rnacentral:rRNA from 1 species